rfam:Meleagris gallopavo isolate NT-WF06-2002-E0010 breed Aviagen turkey brand Nicholas breeding stock chromosome 1, whole genome shotgun sequence.
AAAAUUUCAGAAGCAGUGUCUUCUAAAAUUU